ensembl:lncRNA
CUCCUUUGCAUUCUAUCCAUCCCUCUAGUCUGCAGCAUCCUGUAGGAUACAGAAGGGCAAACCCACUACGCAGCAUAAAGGGUAGCAUCAGCUGCCAGCUAAGUGCACUUUGCACAGCCUUCUGAAAUGUCAUCUGCACUCAGUUGGGCUGAUAGCACUCUGACAUGUGAACAAACUACAGGCCCAUUUCUAAAGUGGAAAAAGGAAGAAUUACUUGGAAAAAGGAAAACAUUACAGUGCCCUCUUUGCUGCUUGAAAAUGAGGUGUUCACAUGGAACUUCAGUGCACAAUCCUUUGCCUCUAGGAAAGAGGUGCUGGCUCGCCAGCUACUGGUGUGUCAUAGUCUUAAACACAGUCUUGACCUGUGGAGCUCGUCAACACCAAGGAUGUGAGAAUGCCUACAGUUAUUGACAUUCCUUGCAAAGUCACUGCUCUCCUAAUAUAUGGGCAUCAAUUACAGCUAGAGAGAAACAUGUUGAUUCCAAGGUCAAGAUGAGACAUGUAAUCUGGAGUUUCCAUCACAACUGAUUAUGCUUAUGCUUCAGCUAUUAUAAGAAAUCAGAGCAAAACUAUUAUACAUGUGUGUAUAUAUGUUUGCUGGAAAGUUGCACUAAAAUCACUUGUAAUCCACCCCAUUUUGCUGCUUUUUCCAACAACUGAAGACAUUAUUUAACAGCCUGAUGAUCUAGCUAACCCAGAGAACUUGAAGAAGGCUUGACACGUGCAGCCAUUUGAGUACCAGUGCCAAGAGGAAGUGACAAAGCAGCUCCUAGGGCAAUAUGGAUCUCCAGCUGAUCAGCUAAGAUCUCCUUCUUCAGUGAUGCUCCCGUUCUCAUUUUCUUCAAACUCAGGUGAGCAGUAUGUGAAUUGCAAGGACUUCAUGGAGGGCUGGAUUUUAUAUCUGGACUGUAGGACAAACUGAAGGUUUUGGGAUAGCAUAUAUGACUUGUGGAACAAACUCUAUAACCACAAAGGAGUUGUAGAGCAGGCUGUGUGGACAAGGAAGUUCGGGUGACAAAUUACAAAAACAAAAAAAAACUUGAGAAGUGCCAUCUGCUGAAGAUCAUGCUGCAAGACAAGCAGUGCCAAAAAGAGAACUCAGCCUUGAGCCAGUGCUCCCGUCAGACUUACAGUUGCAUCCUGCAUGAUUCUGGUUACUGAAUUG